GAGAACGUGGGUUGGUACUCGCGGGCGCUGACCUGCACUACUUGUCGAAAUAAGGGAAAUAUUCAAAUAAAAAUCUUUCGUUUUACUAAAAUGAGUAACUUUUAUUUGUAAGACCGCUGUAAUAAUUUUUAGAAGUAGUUUUGUAUAGUGCCUGUUUACGUAUUAAUUGACAAAAGUAAAAUCAGAUUGGAAGCCAUUAUAGCACAUGCAUGAAAAAGGUACGUGGAUUGAUGCUUGUGACUCAAAAGAUUUAAGAAGAUUGAUAUUUCCAAACGAUCGUUUAUUCCAACUUGUACUGAAAGGAGUUAAUACUUAAAAGUAAAAAAUUGAAUUGAAUUUAGAACCCAACUUUAUUUACCAAGAAAUAUCAAGAAAUUCGGAUUGUUAGUUCAUGCGUUAAUAAAUAAUCUAAAGUUGCAGCUUAAGUCCUGAGAAAGAUUACACGAAAGUUGUCGAGGAUAAGAUAACAAGAAAUUAUAUUAAGAAAUUCGAACUAUUAAUUAACAAUAAUAAAUAAUUUAAAGCCAGUUUACAAAGUGUUUAUCUGUCUUCCAAGUCAGUGCCUUCCUUUAUCCGGCCACUCUCGGCGAUUACAUGGUUGGACAAAUGUACAAUUUUUCAUCCGCGUACAAAAUGGAUCAGUUUAAAUUUCGUUCUUAGUUUAUACCGAAUAUUUCUAUGAUACGAUCAUUGAGUCAACUUCGCAUAAUCAUACUAAAG
rnacentral:lncRNA from 1 species